rnacentral:rRNA from 1 species
GGGCCCGCACAAGCGGUGGAGCAUGUGGUUUAAUUCGAUGAUACGCGAGGAACCUUACCAGGGCUUAAAUGGAAAAUGACAGGGGCAGAGACGCCCCCUUCUUCGGACAUUUUUCAAGGUGCUGCAUGGUUGUCGUCAGCUCGUGCCGUGAGGUGUCAGGUUAAGUCCUAUAACGAGCGCAACCCCUACCGUUAGUUGCCAGCGAGUAAUGUCGGGGACUCUAACGGAACUGCCGGUGCAAACCGUGAGGAAGGUGGGGACGACGUCAAAUCAUCACGGCCCUUACGUCCUGGCCACACACGUGCUACAAUGGCAAGUACAGACGGCUGCUAACCCGCGAGGGGGGAGCUAA